rnacentral:misc_RNA from 1 species
GUAACAAGGUUUCCGUAGGUGAACCUGCGGAAGGAUCAUUACCGAGUGCGGGCUGCCUCCGGGCGCCCAACCUCCCACCCUUGACUACCUAACACUGUUGCUUCGGCGGGGAGCCCUCUCGGGGGCGAGCCGCCGGGGACUACUGAACUUCAUGCCUGAGAGUGAUGCAGUCUGAGUCUGAAUAUAAAAUCAGUCAAAACUUUCAACAAUGGAUCUCUUGGUUCCGGCAUCGAUGAAGAACGCAGCGAACUGCGAUAAGUAAUGUGAAUUGCAGAAUUCAGUGAAUCAUCGAGUCUUUGAACGCACAUUGCGCCCCCUGGCAUUCCGGGGGGCAUGCCUGUCCGAGCGUCAUUGCUGCCCAUCAAGCCCGGCUUGUGUGUUGGGUCGUCGUCCCCCCCGGGGGACGGGCCCGAAAGGCAGCGGCGGCACCGUGUCCGGUCCUCGAGCGUAUGGGGCUUUGUCACCCGCUCGAUUAGGGCCGGCCGGGCGCCAGCCGACGUCUCCAACCAUUUUUUUCAGGUUGACCUCGGAUCAGGUAGGGAUACCCGCUGAACUUAAGCAUAUCAAUAAGCGGAGGAAAAGAAACCAACCGGGAUUGCCCCAGUAACGGCGAGUGAAGCGGCAAGAGCUCAAAUUUGAAAUCUGGCCCCUCCGGGGUCCGAGUUGUAAUUUGCAGAGGAUGCUUCGGGUGCGGCCCCUGUCUAAGUGCCCUGGAACGGGCCGUCAGAGAGGGUGAGAAUCCCGUCUUGGGCAGGGUGCCCGUGCCCGUGUGAAGCUCCUUCGACGAGUCGAGUUGUUUGGGAAUGCAGCUCUAAAUGGGUGGUAAAUUUCAUCUAAAGCUAAAUACCGGCCGGAGACCGAUAGCGCACAAGUAGAGUGAUCGAAAGAUGAA